rnacentral:rRNA from 1 species
UACGUAGGGGGCAAGCGUUUGUCCGGAUUUAUUGGGCGUAAAGAGCGUGUAGGCGGCCUGAAAGGUCAGCUGUGAAAACUCGAGGCUCAACCUCGAGACGUCGGUUGAAACCAUCUGGCUAGAGUCCGGAAGAGGAGAGUGGAAUUCCCGGUGUAGCGGUGAAAUGCGCAGAUAUCGGGAAGAACACCCGUGGCGAAGGCGGCUCUCUGGGACGGUACUGACGCUGAGACGGCGAAAAGCGUGGGGAGCGAACAGG